UGGGGAAUAUUGGACAAUGGGCGAAAGCCUGAUCCAGCCAUGCCGCGUGUGUGAAGAAGGCCUUUUGGUUGUAAAGCACUUUAAGCGAGGAGGAGGCUACUAGUACUAAUACUACCAGGUACUGGACGUUACUCGCAGAAUAAGCACCGGCUAACUCUGUGCCAGCAGCCGCGGUAAUACAGAGGGUGCGAGCGUUAAUCGGAUUUACUGGGCGUAAAGCGUGCGUAGGCGGCUAAUUGAGUCGGAUGUGAAAUCCCCGAGCUUAACUUGGGAAUUGCAUUCGAUACUGGUUAGCUAGAGUGUGGGAGAGGAUGGUAGAAUUCCAGGUGUAGCGGUGAAAUGCGUAGAGAUCUGGAGGAAUACCGAUGGCGAAGGCAGCCAUCUGGCCUAACACUGACGCUGAGGUACGAAAGCAUGGGGAGCAAACAGG
rnacentral:rRNA from 1 species